rnacentral:ncRNA from 1 species
GUGGGAGGCUAGCAAUGGUCGACGGUGAAAUACCACUAUUCUCAUCGUUUCUUUACUUACUCGAUUAAAAGGAAGCUGGCCAUCGCAAUAUGGUGGUCAUUUUUCUAGAUUUCAAGUGUCCGAGCCAUUCAAUCUUUCGGGAUUGUUUGCGUAACUCGGCUCGAUCCUGAUCGAGGACACUGCCAGGCGGGGAGUUUGACUGGGGCGGUACAUCUGUCAAAA